rnacentral:lncRNA from 13 species
AGGUGUUUGCCUAGGGCUGCUCGAAGGAGGCGGAGGCCGGCUGCGGUGGCUGCUGGGGCUGCGGCUGCGAGGCUGCGGCUCCGCCGCCAGGCCUGGGGGCGUCCUGUCCUCGCCGGGGAACGCGUCGCCCUAGGCGAUGAGCCGCCGCUCCCCCGCGGAGUCACGAAGGUGUCCGUGACUGCUGCCGCUUCUCGUGCCGCCGCCGCCACCGCCCCGGUUGCCCAGAGAGGCCAGGAUCCCGCGGAAGCGCCUACAGUCGCCGUUCCUGCUGGACUUGACCGCGCCACGGGCCGGCCCUUCGCUGUCCGCUACCCCGAGGGCCGAGCUCCGGGACUCCGUGCCCCCCGCGGCCGCCAAGGGCGAGGGCAGCGGCCGCAGCCGGGUGCACCUGCGGCUGGGGUCUUGGUGGCCCCCCGCCCCCUCCUCCUCGGCGUCCUCUUCCAAGUCCAUGGUCCACGCGUUGGCCCCCACCUGCUGCAGGAGGCUGUAGAGUCGCUUGCGCAUGGAAGGCGGCAGCUUGUCCAUGGCGCAAGGGGUCGGGACCCGGGCCAGACCCGGGGCGGGGGCGCGGCGCCGCGGACGGGAUCCAGAUCCGCCCGCCGGUCAGUCCGCCAGUGGGGACGCGUCCUUCGCCGCCGGCGCGGGGCCACCUCAGGCGCCCAUUUUCGGGCAGGCUGCGCGCCGCGGGGAGGCUCCCAGUCCUGCUCCGAGUCACCGGGUUCGCCGCGCUGCGCCUCCUCCCGGGCCGGGCUGGGCGCGGUGACCCCGCCUUCCCUCCUUCCCUCCCUCCCUUCCUCCCUCCCUCUAGCGUUCAGGGGCUUGGCGAACGGCCCGGCUCCAGGCGCCCAGUCCCCGCGAGGAACAAUGAGCGCCGGCUGGAAAGGCGCUGCGGCCGCGGCGCCCGGGGAACCUCUCCGGAGCGCAGAGCGCAAGGCCCGCGCGACUCCCGGGCGUGCGUCCCGCGGGAGAGCUGGCCGUCAGUCUGUCUCGCCGCCCGGGCUUUGUGGCCGGCCACCCGCGAGCUCGCCUCCCGUCCUCCGCCCGGGCCCGUCCGGUCAGUGCUGGGGCUACUGCAGCAGCCAAGCGGAGCCCAGCGACCCACCGGGCUUACAUCAGCGGCCGCAUCCCUCGGAGCGCCCUCCCGCAGCGCUCGGGCUCCCGCGCCCCGGAAUAUUCAUGAAGCCGCCGCAGCUCGCGGGUUGCCUGAGGAGCGGCUCCCGCAGCUGGGCCUGCCUACCUGGGCUUCUUAAAGGGGCAGCUGCGCAAGGGCUGGGGGCUGGGAGGGGGCGGGGGGGCGGGCCUGGCUAG